UACGUAGGGUGCAAGCGUUAAUCGGAAUUACUGGGCGUAAAGCGUGCGCAGGCGGUUGGGCAAGACAGGUGUGAAAUCCCCGGGCUUAACCUGGGAACUGCAUUUGUGACUGCACGGCUAGAGUGUGUCAGAGGGGGGUAGAAUUCCACGUGUAGCAGUGAAAUGCGUAGAUAUGUGGAGGAAUACCGAUGGCGAAGGCAGCCCCCCGGGAUAACACUGACGCUCAUGCACGAAAGCGUGGGGAGCAAACAGG
rnacentral:rRNA from 1 species